AAAUUGAAGAGUUUGAUCAUGGCUCAGAUUGAACGCUGGCGGCAGGCCUAACACAUGCAAGUCGAACGGUAACAGGAAGCAGCUUGCUGCUUUGCUGACGAGUGGCGGACGGGUGAGUAAUGUCUGGGAAACUGCCUGAUGGAGGGGGAUAACUACUGGAAACGGUGGCUAAUACCGCAUAAUGUCGCAAGACCAAAGAGGGGGACCUUCGGGCCUCUUGCCAUCAGAUGUGCCCAGAUGGGAUUAGCUUGUUGGUGAGGUAACGGCUCACCAAGGCGACGAUCCCUAGCUGGUCUGAGAGGAUGACCAGCCACACUGGAACUGAGACACGGUCCAGACUCCUACGGGAGGCAGCAGUGGGGAAUAUUGCACAAUGGGCGCAAGCCUGAUGCAGCCAUGCCGCGUGUAUGAAGAAGGCCUUCGGGUUGUAAAGUACUUUCAGCGGGGAGG
rnacentral:rRNA from 1 species